GAGGAGGAGGAAGCAUGUGCGCCUUUACGAUUUGUUGGUGUGUUGAGAGUGAAGUGCUUGGAGUUGGAUUUUGUACAAAGUGUCAGCCAAUAGGAGCUCAGCUCUCUCCCACGGCUGGCGAAGACUGUCACGCAGCUACUUUGGACCCAUGGUCCGUCCAGUGGCCCGGAUGACAAGUGCACAUUCAAAGUGGAAAUCACAUCAGCACAACACUUAAAAAAAAUCAUUCCCUAAAAAAAAAAAAAUAUCCUGAGAUGCAUUAGCACUAUUUUACUAUUGUAAUACAAAUUAAUCCAAAUUCACUCUAUUUGCAGAGAAAGAGUAAAAAAAAAGAAAAAAAAAAGAACGCCUGCUUCCUCUCUUGUAGCCAAAAAGAGGAUUUAGAGAUUUAGUCAUAAAAAAGUGACCUCAUCGCAUUCGCCACACGCACACGCACACGCACGCGUGCAGCAGGAGGGCGAAGACGUUCACGAGUGAGGAGAAGGAGCUGCAAGAUUCCAACGCAGAGGAAAAUAUUUUGUUUUGGAUCUUCCCAAGUCGGAUUUCUUUCUGCACACCAGCUUUCACCUGAGCAGAGGGUUCUUCUUCUUUUUCUUCUUCUUUUUGGAACGAACUGCAGCACACACUCAGGAGUCUGCCGAAAAACAAAGGGAUGCAAUUAAACACAGCUGAUCAACAAGGAGGCAAAGUGGGGACGCAGGACGACAAAGUGGAGGUCAAGUAAAAGGGAGGUUGCCACACACACAAACGUUGUCUCCGUUAUGAACUGAGGUAUAUAUAAGGGAGCGGGGAAAAUAAAUGUUUACCAAUGAAGACGUCUGUGUGCCUCCUGCGUGCAUGUGGAGGUGCGUACACGGCGUGCUAAAAGCUGCCCUGCAGACCAGACCUGUGGAAUCUUCAAAGUGGAGGAUUUGUUCAGGCUUAUUUGGCAACCUGGGAUUUGAAUUGAAUUUUGGGAGGCAUUCAUAACACAUUAGAAAACCUUACAAUGUGUGAUUUCAUGUAUAAUCCCCUUAUAGUCAUUUUUUAUAAGGGGGAGUAGUAUGGUCACAACAUAGCGUGGCUAGUCAUGAUUCAUCAAAUGUUUUUUUUUUUUUGCCUGGGAGGUGAGUGUCUUCUCCUGAAGAGGUGAGUCUUCACUUGAACCUUCCUCUCCUCACCAUUUUGUUGGUUUGACCUGAAUAUGUGAUAGGGUCAGCUCCACCGUGAGACCCCCUGCUUACAACCCCCAGUGGAUUAGACCUUUCUACAUGUGCGGACGCCCACUUUGCUUUGAAUGACACUUUGGCGAUGCACCCAACAUCCCACUUGGACUUCUCAAGUGUAGCAACACUGCCAAAUCCUCUCAACUCUUUAGUAUCUCCCUUUGGCUGCAUUGCCAGGCAAGGCCCCUCUGUGACAGUUGGACAUCGUCGUCGCUUUCGGGAGGAGACAGCGGCGGCCGUUUGUAGCGUUUCCCAGCCUCGGGCCUGUGGGGAAUCUGUAAUGGCUCGCCUGUCAGCCGGCCCCUCCCCUGCAAUUAGGAGAGUAAACACAGCGCCUGACUCGACAUGGGAGGGAGGGACAGAGAAGGAGGGGCAGGGACACCAUCCUGCUCCUGUCCUACUGCUGUCUCCAGACAAAGAUGACUGCACAAACUCAGACACUGCAAAUCUCAAUAAAAAGUGUCUGUGGAUACAACACAGCAUAUCAUAGCAGGCUGCACGGCGGUUUGCAUGUCGGCCUCACAGUCAGGACUAUUGAGGCUUGGAACAUCUCUGUGUGGACUUUGCUUGUCCUCACACAUCUAAAAACAAGCAUAUUUGGUUAAUUACAGGCAUUCAGAAAGCAUUCACAGUGCUUCACUUUUUCCAAAUUUUGUUAUGUUGUAUAGCCUUAAUCCAAAAUGCAAUAAAUUCAUUGAUGUCCUCAAAAUUCUGCAGGCAAUACCCCAAAAUGAGAAUGUGAUUUUUUUUUGAACAUUUAUGCAAAUGUCUUAAAAAAUAAAAACAUAAAAAAAAAUGUACACAAGUA